rnacentral:rRNA from 1 species
UCCGUAGGUGAACCUGCGGAAGGAUCAUUAAAGAUUCUAAGGCUUCGGUCUUAAUUUCGGCUGUGCGCUCAGGCUGCACGCCGUUAACCUCUCACACCUGUGCACCUUUUCGGUUGCGGCUUCGGCCGCUUCCGCUUUUACAUGCAACCACGAAAAGUCUAGAAUGUGACGAGAACUAUAAAGUAACAACUUUCAACAACGGAUCUCUUGGCUCUCGCAUCGAUGAAGAACGCAGCGAAAUGCGAUAAGUAAUGUGAAUUGCAGAAUUCAGUGAAUCAUCGAAUCUUUGAACGCACCUUGCGCUCCUUGGUAUUCCAUGGAGCAUGCCUGUUUGAGUGUCACGUAAACCCUCACCCCUGCGAUGUAACAGUCGCCUGCGGUGGACUUGGACCGUGCCGGUAAUCGGCUCGUCUUGAAAUGCAUUAGCUGGCGCUUUUAGAGUGCUGGGCGAACGGUGUGAUAAUUAUCUGCGCCGACUGCCCUGGGCCUCUUCAGCGGCGCUGCUUACAGCCGUCCCUUGUGGACAACUAUUUUAAAGCUUUGGCCUCAAAUCAGGUAGGACUACCCGCUGAACUUAAGCAUAUCAAUAAGCGGAGGA